AAACCAUUAUACGGGUAAUUUUUUAUCAACUUCUUAAACCUCUUCCAAGCUUCACUCAACGUUUCUUGAUCCUUUUGUUGAAAAUUUGUGAUUUCUCGCUGCCUCU